rnacentral:lncRNA from 1 species
CUUUUGCAACAACUGGAAGGUCAGUUGAGAAGCACUGUGUUUCCUCAAUUAAAAAACACACAGGUUUCUCUAUGCAUUUUACACUGAGUCAUUUGCACAAAUUUCACCUUUUAUUUCCACUUUAUUUUUUGCAGAUUUAAUGCAGGACUUAAAAAAAAAAAUGUGGAGCAGAGGUGGGGGAAAUUUGUUUAUUGUUUGCUGUUUAAUUUACAAAUUCAAUGUUUAAUGUUCAUUUUAUGAAAACACCACAGGUUCCUGUGUAUCUCCCAAGGGAUGCACGAGGAGCCAUCCACUGUGGCUAACUUCCAAAGAAGAAAAUCAGAUUAAAGCAUUCUUCUUCAAUUCAUUCUUCUUGCAAGAAACCUCCUGCACCAUCCUGACAUUGCUGCUUCAAAUUCUGCCAGGUGACUAAUGACUUCUCUCUGAGCACAACAAAUGUUCCAGCUGACCUCACUUCUCAAAAUGCAUCAUUCCUUCAAAUAAACGUCAUUAAACACAAGCA